AUUGAACGCUGGCGGCAUGCUUUACACAUGCAAGUCGAACGGCAGCGCGGGCUUCGGCCUGGCGGCGAGUGGCGAACGGGUGAGUAAUACAUCGGAACGUGCCCAGUAGUGGGGGAUAGCUCGGCGAAAGCCGGAUUAAUACCGCAUACGACCUGAGGGUGAAAGCGGGGGAUCUCCGGACCUCGCGCUAUUGGAGCGGCCGAUGGCAGAUUAGCUAGUUGGUGGGGUAAAGGCCUACCAAGGCGACGAUCUGUAGCUGGUCUGAGAGGACGACCAGCCACACUGGGACUGAGACACGGCCCAGACUCCUACGGGAGGCAGCAGUGGGGAAUUUUGGACAAUGGGCGAAAGCCUGAUCCAGCAAUGCCGCGUGUGUGAUGAAGGCCUUCGGGUUGUAAAGCACUUUUGGCGGGAACGAAAAGGACUGUGCCAAUACCACGGUUCGAUGACGGUACCCGCAGAAUAAGCACCGGCUAACUACGUG
rnacentral:rRNA from 1 species